rnacentral:rRNA from 1 species
GACGAACGCUGGCGGCGUGCCUAAUACAUGCAAGUAGAACGCACAGUUUAUACCUUAGCUUGCUACACCAUAAACUGUGAGUUGCGAACGGGUGAGUAACGCGUAGGUAACCUGCCUGGUAGCUGGGGAUAACUAUUGGAAACGAUAGCUAAUACCGCAUAAUAUUGAUUAUUGCAUGAUAAUUGAUUGAAAGAUGCUAUUGCAUCACUACCAGAUGGACCUGCGUUGUAUUAGCUAGUAGGUGAGGUAACGGCUCACCUAGGCGGUGAUACAUAGCCGACCUGAGAGGGUGAUCGGCCGCACUGGGACUGAGACACGGCACAGACUGCUACGGGAGGCAGCAGGAGGGAAUCGUCGGCAAUGGGCGAAAGUCUGACCGAGAAACGCCGCGGGAGGGAAGAGGGUUGUCGGAUCGUAAAGCUCGGUUGUAAGAGAAGAACGGGUGUGAGAGUGGAAAGUUCACACUGUGACGGUAUCUUACCAGAAAGGGACGGCUAACUACGUG